AUGAAAUCGCCAUUGCGGAGGCUCCGGGGCUUCGGCCACCACCACCCCAAGGAGCGGAAGGCGCACCCCCCGCCGCCCGCCAAGCUCGACGAGCUCGCCGAAGCUGCCCAGGAUGUGGAACAAAUGAGGAAGUGUUAUGACGGCUUGCUUUCAGCUGCAGCCGCUACAACAAAUAGCGUCUAUGAGUUUUCGGAGGCCUUGGAGGAAAUGGGAAGUUGCUUACUUGCAAAAAAUGCACUAAAUGAUGAGGAUGAUGAUAGUGGCAGAGUGCUGAUGAUGCUUGGAAAGGCCCAGUUUGAACUAACAAAGUCUCUGGAUAACUAUCGUACACAUAUCAUUCAUACAAUCACUACCCCAUCGGAAUCUCUUCUCAAGGAGCUACAAACCGUGGAGGAAAUGAAGCACCAAUGUGACACGAAAAGGGAGGCGUACGAAGUCAUGAGGGCAUCUUAUGGACAAAAAGGACAGUCAAAGAAUUCAAAAGUCGAAUCGUUUUCUGCAGAACAACUGCAAGAUUCACUUGUUGAAUACCAAGAGGAUGCAGCGUUGUUCAUAUUUCGCUUGAAAUCUCUGAAGCAGGGGCAAUUCCAUAGUCUUUUAACACAGGCUGCUCGCCAUCAUGCUUCUCAGCUAAUUUUUUUCAGGAGAGGACUCAAGUGCCUUGAGGCACUUGAACCCCAUGUAAAAGCAAUAGCUGAGAAACAGCACAUUGACUAUCAGUUCACCGGCCUUGAGGACAAUGAAUCUGACAACGAUGGCUCCAGCUCUUACCAAGAGACUUGUAGUGAUGACAGAGAACUGAGUUUCGACUAUGAAAUAAAUGAUAGAGACCAAGAUUUUAUUGCUUCGAGAGGUUCAAUGGAUUUGGAUAAAGGAGACCUGAGGACUUCCCCAACGCCAAUAAAAGAGAUCAAGCAGGAAGAGGUGAAGCUACUGAAGGCAGAAGCAGCAGCUCCACAAGUGAAGCCUGAGAUCAUCACACAUUCAGCUCCAAUGUUUGCUGACAAUUUUGUCGAUCAAACAGAGAGGCUUCGGCAAAUCCGGCCAUCUUCAGCCCGGCACUCAUACAAACUCCCAACACCAGCGGAUGAUGACUAUCCCAGAUCAGCAGCUGUUCACAGGUCUCAUCAUUCCGCGCAUUUUUUCGGAAGUAAAGAUGGCGCUGCAGCCAACUUGUGGCAUUCAUCUCCACCGGCGAAAGAUUACAAGGCGAGCACCAUGCAUAGUGGUCCCAUUAAACUGCCAUCAAACUCUGAUUUUAGUAAGAAGUUAAAGAGAGAGUCCUGGUCUGGUCCGAUUCCAAGCAAAGCAGGAUCAAGCAAGCCUGAUCCCAAGUCAUCCAUGGGCCGUCCUCAUGCGAUGAUAUCCAAGUCGUGUGUUCAUGCUAGGCAGCCGUCACCAGUUUCACCCAAGAUGUUCCCACCUUCAAUAGUAUCCCCCAAAAUCAGUGAGGUUCAUGAGCUGCCUAGGCCUCCGGCCAAUGUUGAGCCCCUCCGGCCUUGUGGUCUAGUUGGCUACUCCGGUCCUUUGGUAUCAAAGCGCCAAGCUCCUACAGCACCUGUCCGUGCCUCGCCAACAGCGUCGCAGACAGCCUCGCCGCUUCCGCGGCCACCUGCUUCCUUGGCUCGCAGUUUCUCCAUACCCUCGAACAGCCAGAGAACACCCCUCAUUACAGUCAAUAAGUUGCUUGAGGCCAGAAGUAGCAGAGAGAGCAGUGAAAUUUCCUCCCCACCACUCACUCCGUUGUUUUCUUCUACCAGCCAACACAAAAAACAAUUAAAGGCAGCACUCGGAGAAAAGGGUAUGUCAUAG
rnacentral:rRNA from 1 species